rnacentral:rRNA from 1 species
UACGUAGGGUGCGAGCGUUGUCCGGAAUUAUUGGGCGUAAAGAGCUCGUAGGCGGUGUGUCACGUCGGCCGUGAAAACCUGCAGCUUAACUGUGGGCGUGCGGUCGAUACGGGCAUCACUGGAGUUCGGCAGGGGAGACUGGAAUUCCUGGUGUAGCGGUGAAAUGCGCAGAUAUCAGGAGGAACACCGAUGGCGAAGGCAGGUCUCUGGGCAUUAACUGGCGCUGAGGAGCGAAAGCAUGGGGAGCGAACAGG